GCUGGGUGUGGCGGCGCACGCCUGUAAUCCCAGCUACUCAGAAGGCUGAGGCAGGAGAAUUGCUUGAACCUGGGAGGCUGAGGGUGCAGUGAGCAGAGAUCAUACCACUGCACUCCAGCCUGGGUGACAGAGUGAGACUCUGUCUCAA
ensembl:misc_RNA Metazoa_SRP Metazoan signal recognition particle RNA